rnacentral:rRNA from 1 species
CCUACGGGAGGCAGCAGUGAGGAAUAUUGGUCAAUGGACGAGAGUCUGAACCAGCCAAGUAGCGUGAAGGAUGACUGCCCUAUGGGUUGUAAACUUCUUUUAUAUGGGACUAAAAUGUUCCACGUGUGGGAUUUUGUAUGUACCAUAUGAAUAAGGAUCGGCUAACUCCGUGCCAGCAGCCGCGGUAAUACGGAGGUUCCGAGCGUUAUCCGGAUUUAUUGGGUUUAAAGGGAGCGUAGGUGGAUUGUUAAGUCAGUUGUGAAAGUUUGCGGCUCAACCGUAAAAUUGCAGUUGAAACUGGCAGUCUUGAGUACAGUAGAGGUGGGCGGAAUUCGUGGUGUAGCGGUGAAAUGCUUAGAUAUCACGAAGAACUCCGAGUGCGAAGGCAGUUCACUGGACUGCAACUGACACUGAGGCUCGAAAGUGUGGGUAUCAAACAGGAUUAGAUACCCGGGUAGUC